ensembl:snRNA U6 U6 spliceosomal RNA
AUGUUCACUUUAGCAGCACAUAUUCUGAAUUAGAAUGAUACAGAGAAAAUUAGCAUGAUUCCUGCACAAGGAUAACAUGCAAAUUUGUGAAGUGUUCCAAAUUUAA